AGUGAACGCUGGCGGUAGGCCAAACACAUGCAAGUCGAACGGCAGCACAGAGGAGCUUGCUCCUUGGGUGGCGAGUGGCGGGCGGGUGAGGAAUACAUCGGAAUCUACUCUGUCGUGGGGGAUAACGUAGGGAAACUUACGCUAAUACCGCAUACAACCUACGGGUGAAAGCAGGGGAUCUUCGGACCUUGCGCGAUUGAAUGAGCCGAUGUCGGAUUAGCUAGGUGGCGGGGUAAAGGCCCACCAAGGCGACGACCCGUAGCUGGUCUGAGAGGAUGAUCAGCCACACUGGAACUGAGACACGGUCCAGACUCCUACGGGAGGCAGCAGUGGGGAAUAUUGGACAAUGGGCGCAAGCCUGAUCCAGCCAUACCGCGUGGGUGAAGAAGGCCUUCGGGUUGUAAAGCCCUUUUGUUGGGAAAGAAAUCCAUCUGGUUAAUACCCGGAUGGGAUGACGGUACCCAAAGAAUAAGCACCGGCUAACUUCGUGCCAGCCGCCGCCGUAA
rnacentral:rRNA from 1 species